rnacentral:rRNA from 1 species
AUUGAACGCUGGCGGCAGGCUUAACACAUGCAAGUCGAGCGAGCGGCGGACGGGUGAGUAAUGUCUGGGAAACUGCCUGAUGGAGGGGGAUAACUACUGGAAACGGUAGCUAAUACCGCAUACCAUCAGAUGUGCCCAGAUGGGAUUAGCUAGUAGGUGGGGUAAUGGCUCACCUAGGCGACGAUCCCUAGCUGGUCUGAGAGGAUGACCAGCCACACUGGAACUGAGACGCGGUCCAGAGUCCUACGAGAGGCAGCAGUGGUAGAGAUUGCACAAUGGGCGCGAGCCUGAUGCAGCCAUGCCACGUGUAUGAAGAAGGCCUUCGGGUUGGAAAGUACUUUCAGCGGGGAGGCGUUACCCGCAGAAGAAGCACCGGCUAACUCCGUGCCAGCCGCCGCGGUAAUAC